rnacentral:rRNA from 1 species
GCCUAAUACAUGCAAGUCGAGCGAGCUUGCCUAUAGAAGUUCUUCGGAAUGGAAAUAGAUACAAGCUAGCGGCGGAUGGGUGAGUAACGCGUGGGUAACCUGCCCUUAAGUCUGGGAUACCAUUUGGAAACAGAUGCUAAUACCGGAUAAAAGCUACUUUCGCAUGAAAGAAGUUUAAAAGGCGGCGUAAGCUGUCGCUAAAGGAUGGACCUGCGAUGCAUUAGCUAGUUGGUAAGGUAACGGCUUACCAAGGCGAUGAUGCAUAGCCGAGUUGAGAGACUGAUCGGCCACAUUGGGACUGAGACACGGCCCAAACUCCUACGGGAGGCAGCAGUAGGGAAUCUUCCACAAUGGACGAAAGUCUGAUGGAGCAACGCCGCGUGAGUGAAGAAGGUUUUCGGAUCGUAAAGCUCUGUUGUUGGUGAAGAAGGAUAGAGGUAGUAACUGGCCUUUAUUUGACGGUAAUCAACCAGAAAGUCACGGCUAACUACGUGCCAGCAGCCGCGGUAAUACGUAGGUGGCAAGCGUUGUCCGGAUUUAUUGGGCGUAAAGCGAGCGCAGGCGGAUUGAUAAGUCUGAUGUGAAAGCCUUCGGCUCAACCGAAGAACUGCAUCAGAAACUGUCAAUCU